CAGUAGCCACGGUAAUACGUAGGUGGCGAGCGUUGUCCGGACUUAUUGGGCGUAAAGGGAGUGUAGGCGGUCUUUUAAGUCUGAUGUGAAAGCCCACGGCUCAACCGUGGAGGGUCAUUGGAAACUGGGAGACUUGAGUGCAGAAGAGGAGAGCGGAAUUCCAUGUGUAGCGGUGAAAUGCGUAGAUAUAUGGAGGAACACCAGUGGCGAAGGCGGCUCUCUGGUCUGUAACUGAUGCUGAGGCUCGAAAGCGUGGGGAGCAAACAGGAUUAGAUACCCCAGUAGUCCCUGUCUCUUAUAC
rnacentral:rRNA from 1 species